UACGUAGGGACCAAGCGUUGUUCGGAUUUACUGGGCGUAAAGGGCGCGUAGGCGGCGUGGUAAGUCGCUUGUGAAAUCUCUGAGCUUAACUCAGAACGGCCAAGUGAUACUGCUGUGCUAGAGUGCAGAAGGGGCAAUCGGAAUUCUUGGUGUAGCGGUGAAAUGCGUAGAUAUCAAGAGGAACACCUGAGGUGAAGACGGGUUGCUGGGCUGACACUGACGCUGAGGCGCGAAAGCCAGGGGAGCAAACGGG
rnacentral:rRNA from 1 species